rnacentral:rRNA from 1 species
CCUACGGGAGGCAGCAGUGGGGAAUAUUGGACAAUGGGGGGAACUCUGAUCCAGCGACGCCGCGUGAGUGAAGAAGUAUUUCGGUAUGUAAAGCUCUAUCAGCAGGGAAGAAAGAAAUGACGGUACCUGACUAAGAAGCCCCGGCUAACUACGUGCCAGCAGCCGCGGUAAUACGUAGGGGGCAAGCGUUAUCCGGAUUUACUGGGUGUAAAGGGAGCGUAGACGGCGAUGCAAGUCUGAAGUGAAAGGCGGGGGCCCAACCUCCGGACUGCUUUGGAAACUGUAUGGCUGGAGUGCAGGAGAGGUAAGUGGAAUUCCUAGUGUAGCGGUGAAAUGCGUAGAUAUUAGGAGGAACACCAGUGGCGAAGGCGGCUUACUGGACUGUAACUGACGUUGAGGCUCGAAAGCGUGGGGAGCAAACAGGAUUAGAUACCCGAGUAGUC